ACCAGCUGACGAGUCCCGAAUAGGACGAAGCACACGUCGUGGAU
rnacentral:hammerhead_ribozyme from 1 species